rnacentral:rRNA from 1 species
CGUGUAGGCUGCCCCAAAAGUCAGGUGUGAAAGCCCUGGGCUCAACCCAGGAAGUGCACUUGAAACUGCGGGGCUCGAGUUCUGGAGAGGAUGGCGGAAUUCUCGGUGUAGAGGUGAAAUUCGUAGAUAUCGAGAGGAACACCGGUGGCGAAGGCGUCUAUCUGGACAGUGACUGACGCUGAGACGCGAAAGCGUGGGGAGCAAACA